rnacentral:tRNA from 5 species
GGAGAGGUCGCCAUUGGCAAGGCAAGUCGUUUGCUAAACGAUCGAGGAAAUUCCCUCUGUGGGUUCGACUCCCACUCUCUCCGCCA